GGAAGAGGAAGAGGAAGAGGAAGAGGAAGAGGAAUCAUUUCAGAUACCCCGAUUGCUCCUUUAAGCCAAGAGAACACUUAUGUGCACAACUGAAUCCCUCAGAUGCUCUCCCACAAUGGACGGCCCUUAGACAAAACACUGGGGAUGCAGCACAACUGGGAGGAAAAACACUCACCCUUCCCGCAGAGCUCAUCAAGACCGAGGAAAAGUGCAACACUUGGGUGCGGCGGCAGAGCAUGCCCAUUGGCAGACUUCUCCAUGCAGUUGCCCUCGAGUGCUGUUGUAGAAAUUGCUACAGCUGAGCUUUUCCAUGCCUGGGGCCACGGUGACAUCCACUUGUGAGAGAUUCCUGGAAACGAAGCUUAAGUCCCUACUUGCUUAAAUAAACAAGCAAACCAACCAUUUCAUAAACGUUUUUGAAUGCACAGAGGUAUGUGCGUUCACUGUCAUCGUGUAGCACCUACAGGAAUUGCAGUUAAGGGGCUUGCUGGGCGCUCAGCGCUGAGAGCUGAGCAGUAAGGGCUCAUUGCAUAAGAAUAAAUAAUUGCAGAAAUGGUACAAAUUCUAUAGAGGAGAUAAACCCUAAGAGCAGCACCUGGAAUCUGACAGUCAGG